rnacentral:rRNA from 1 species
ACGGGUGAGUAAUGUCUGGGAACUGCCUGAUGGAGGGGGAUAACUACUGGAAACGGUAGCUAAUACCGCAUAACGUCGCAAGACCAAAGAGGGGGACCUUCGGGGCCUCUUGCCAUCGGAUGUGCCCAGAUGGGAUUAGCUAGUAGGUGGGGUAACGGCUCACCUAGGCGACGAUCCCUAGCUGGUCUGAGAGGAUGACCAGCCACACUGGAACUGAGACACGGUCCAG